GUGGCUCAGUUGGUAGAGUGCUUGCCUUGCAUGCAUGAGGCCCUGGGUUCAAUUCCUCAGC
rnacentral:tRNA from 1 species